UCAACUAUCAAGCCUGGCUUGUCGUUGGACCCUUUUGUCAAUGAAAUAUGUGACAGGUCCGAAAGAUAAUGACGGUGUCGUGUUUGACCCUAAAUGCAACGAGCUUUUUAUAGCACGCAUUGAAGUGGUCGGCCGACCCCAGUCUUUAACCAUCAUUUUUCUAA
rnacentral:misc_RNA from 1 species